UGAAUAAAUAGCUCAGAGUGGAAAGCCAGGAAAAGAUUCAUGAGGAAUCACAGCAUUAAAACUUUCAGUCUGUUUGGAUACUUAAAGGAAAGUUUUCGAAUCAGUCAAAAUGAAUGAUCUGAAUGCACAAAGAAAUAAAAAGAAUAUCGGAGCAGCUGGAAAAGGUGGAGAUGAUAACUGGAGCUGGACUCUGUUUUCACUGUUUUCACUGUCUGGCUUCGCACUGUACCAAUGGUUCCUGCAAAAGAGAAUAACAGAUGAAAUCAAUUGCUUAAGCAGAAGCAUUGAGAAAAACAGAAGGGAGGACAAAGCCAUGGUUGUGAUUCACGAGAUCCGCAAGUUGUUGUACGCUAGACAAGAUAUAAUUUGCAAUAAUAUUCCAUAUCCUUUGCAGCAGACCAGAGAGCAGGAGUUAACCAGCAUGGCCUCAAAUGACCCUAUAGCAUGUCAACUCAAUAUAAAAGCUGACCUCCUCAAGAUCUUCCGGCAUCCUGAACCCUGCUCAAGAGCUACAAUAGAAACAUGUGUUGAAGACUGGCAGAGAAAACUUAAGGACUUACUCAAAAAUAAGCAAAAAUAGAUUGAUACACAGUUUUAUAAGGAUUCAGGAUUUGUUUGACCCAAUGUGACACUAGAGUUAUGUUUGCGUGUUGUUUUUUAAUGUCGAUUAUAUAUGUGAUAUUCAAACAAAUCAGAAUUUAAUAUGUUAUGAAACUGAGCUUAAGCAGUGAUUCCCACAAUGUAUUUCAUUAUUUAAUUUUGUUAACUGUAAAAUAAAAGUGUU